rnacentral:rRNA from 1 species
UACGGGGGGGGGCAAGCGUUGUUCGGAAUUACUGGGCGUAAAGGGCUCGUAGGCGGCCAACUAAGUCGGAUGUGAAAUCCCCAAGCUUAACUUGGGAACUGCAUCCGAUACUGGAUGGCUUGAAUCCGGGAGAGGGAUGCAGAAUUCCAGGUGUAGCGGUGAAAUGCGUAGAUAUCUGGAGGAACACCGGUGGCGAAGGCGGCAUCCUGGACCAACACUGACGCUGAGGAGCGAAAGCCAGGGGAGCAAACGGG